ensembl:lncRNA
GUGACCUGCUGUUCUUUCCUGCUUUCCUGUGUGUUUUUUUUCCCUCUCUAGAUUUAGAUUAAAAACAAAGCCUGUUCCUCCUUCUCCUUACCUUUUUAGACCUCAGCAAAGAAGCCCUGUAGUUUUGAGGUACUGUUACAAGGUUGGAAGACCCGAAUGGAGAUACAUGUUUCUUUUUGUAGCUUGGUUGGGACAUUUGUAGAAGGACAAGACCGGGGACAGCUGGACGUGAUUCUUCGGAAUUCCCUGCUCCUCUUGCUCUCCUGAUCUGUCGGACUGAGAGCCGGACAGUAACGGAGUGGGACGUCAGGGAAUUCUGGGGGGAUAUCCAGUCCAAGUGUGAGUAAGGGGAUCUGUUUUUGGAAGACCCCCCUUGUUGGAUGCACUGACAGCCUUCUGCGGCUCAGAAAGAACAGAGCCGGGUUCCCGAGCUCGAUCAGGGCUCUGUCCCCUGGUGGAGGGGGUACGCAGGAGUACAGAGGGUCAGCGCGUUGGCCAUCAAACCCAUAGCCGGCAUCCCUCUGGUGACCAUGUACCCGCAGGGUAGACACCCGGUACCUCUGCAGCCGGGACAGUCAUUCAAGUUCACGGUGCUGGAGACUCUGGACCGCAUUAAAGAGGAGUUCCAGUUCCUUCAGGCUCAGUACCACAGUCUCAAAAUAGAGUGUGAGAAGUUGGCCAGCGAGAAGACAGAGAUGCAGCGCCACUAUAUCAUGUACUACGAGAUGUCCUACGGGCUCAACAUUGAGAUGCACAAACAGGCGGAGAUCGUGAAGCGACUCAGUGCUAUCUGUGCUCAAAUCAUCCCUUUCCUCUCUCAGGAGCAUCAACAGCAGGUUGUUCAGGCGGUGGAACGUGCCAAACAGGUCACCAUGGCAGAGCUCAACGCCAUCAUUGGGCAGCAGCUCCAGCACCUGUCUCACCACACUCCAGGUAUUCCUCUCACUCCUCACCCUUCAGGUCUGUCUCUGGGCGGCACAUCAGGGCUGCUGGCCCUCACCGGGGCUCUAGGAGUCUCCGCCCACCUGGCCAGCAAGGACGAACGCAAUCAUCUAGACCCCGAGCACCUGCGAGGUGAGGGUCCAUCUGAACUGUCUAUGUGCAUUUUUAAUGUCACAAAUGCAUGGGGUUAUUAA